rnacentral:lncRNA from 1 species
GCUGCACCGGUUGCUGGUGCAUCCUGCGCCCUUUGUCGCCUAACACACCAGUCGGGGUCCGAUGUCCCCGGAUUGGGGUAACUGGAGAGGGGGCGUAGGAGCAGCGGGCAAAGCGAUCUGCGGGGCGCGGGUGGGAAGAGGAAAACCGGGGUCGAGCACCUCUCAGCGGAAAGGGGCUGGGCAAGCGGGGUUCACUGAUGCCGCCGCGGGAAGGGCGUGGCGCUCCCACCUGCGCCCGCGGCGCCCCCUGCCGGCCGCCCCAGCACACACUCGCGAUUUCUCCAGGCUUUCAAUUGAAUGGUGGAAUGGCCUGUGUCCUUCCUGGAGCUGUGGUCCAGAGUGAGAUAUUAUUGUGCUCUCGCCUCUUUCUGGUUUGGAACUUGAGGAUGGAAAAGAUGCAUUCCCUCAUAAUUAAUUUAGGUGGCUGUCAACUGUGGCCACAGCUGGACCCAGGCGAAGAGCACAGACUGAGAAAUUGAGGUGAGGGAAAGGAAAUACUGACCACAGCCUACAUGGGCUGCGAGUAAAACCUUGCUGCAUCUACUGCUAAGUUUGGAGCCAGUGGGCCUCUGGCCAUCCUGACCGUAAGCACCAGCCAUCUCCUAAGCAUUUGGGGUGGCCUUUCUUAAUUCCCAGCAUCACCCCGUACGUUAGCUGAUAUUAACCCCAUUUUAUAGAUUUUUUAAAAUCCUAUAAUCCAAAGAGUUAAUUAAGUAGCUGUCUUAUAGUCUCACAGCCAGAGCAAGCAGAGGUGGGAUUUGAACCUGAAUCUCUCUGACUUUGCAAUGUUAUUGCAGGUACAAAGCAGCCCUGCUUACACAUAGCCCCUCAUGAUUCCUUUGUGAAGGAGUCCCAACAUUUUCAGUUUUUUCUUCACCCUCUGUCACCUACUUCAAACCUGCCUCAGGCACUCCUUUGCCUUCUCUACCUCACUUUUCCAUUAUAAUGUGUUCUAUGAGAAGGAUCUGGAACUAGUUCACACUACAGUUUCAGUGACUGGUAACAGCCUGAAGUGUCCAACCCCCCCACCAUUUCCAAGAUUUGCCUUUAAAGUAGAAUCUAAGCUUCAAAUUAAAUAAUGGAAAUUCUUCGGGUAAUUGAUUUGACAGACAGGAAUGUGGGGCA